CAGAGUUGUAAAACUCCCAACCAUUGUGAACAGACCCGCAACACUACAGCGGGUGGUUCACCAUAACCACCCGCUGUAGUAUGCAAACUCUUGCUAUAGUGUAUCUCUGAGUAAUUUAUUUAAUAAGUCA
rnacentral:misc_RNA from 1 species